UCAAGGCUAAAUCUGCUCAUGUCGCCACUGC
rnacentral:piRNA from 1 species